CUGGCUUGGUGCCUGGCACACGCCUGUGCAGUAACAAGAGACAGGCAGGACUUAGGAGCACAUUAGGAGACAAUUUGACGCAGAAGCGAGCAGGCAGCGCGGCAGAUGAAACAGGGAGUUUUAGAGACAGAUCCAUUCCACUGACCUGUGAACAGAGCUGUGCUCUCUGAGAAGACUGCAGUGCUCGGAGGCUUCCAGCUCACUCUCUUUCUGCAGUGUGUCUGUACAGGAAACCUUGGCAAGCAUGGCACAUUUUGUUUUAAUAGAGAAUAAUCAUGAAGGAUCCAAAGAUAAGUACUAAUCAGAGACAAUGGACACAGUGCUCAUCUACUCUGUUUUCUUGAAGAUAAGGCUUUGAAACAGUGGUGAGUAAGCUAAAUGAUAAAUCAGCAGAUGCUGGCAGCUUCAGGAGCAGAAACUAUUAACUGUACAUUAGGAAUGGUUUAUAUUCAUUAACAAAGUUUAUACCAUGGAGCUGUGUGGUUAGCCAUCACUUUCCCUUCUAAUUUUUGGCCUUUCUGCAGAAGCAGUGAUGUUAGCUGUGGCCUUUCUUCACCUACAAAAGAAGGGGAAAGCUGGAGGAGGACAUUCAGGCUUUUCCUCAAUUCUUGCCUAUCGAAGAGAUUCAUAAAUCAAAGGAAAUAAGAUGCUCAGUGGAACCCUGCUGAGUGAUUGGAAAUCCCUAGGUGAAUGCAUAUGGGACUGAAGCAUUUGGGAAACAAAUUUUUGAAGCUGUUACUGUUGAACUGAAAUGGAAUGUUGAAGGUGAGCAUUCAUGCUUAACUCUGAUGUCAGUG
ensembl:lncRNA